UACGUAGGGGGCAAGCGUUGUCCGGAAUUAUUGGGCGUAAAGAGCGUGUAGGCGGCCAGAUAAGUCCGCUGUGAAAUCUCGAGGCUCAACUUCGAGCUGUCGGUGGAAACUAUCUGGCUAGAGUCCGGAAGAGGAGAAUGGAAUUCCUGGUGUAGCGGUGAAAUGCGUAGAUAUCGGGAGGAACACCUGUGGCGAAGGCGGCCCCCUGGUUGUAUACUGACGCUGAGACGCGAAAGCGUGGGGAGCAAACAGG
rnacentral:rRNA from 1 species